GAUGAACGCUAGCGGCCGGCUUAAUACAUGCAAGUCGAGGGGCAGCGCAGUGUAGCAAUACAUGGGCGGCGACCGGCAAACGGGUGCGGAACACGUAGGCAACCUACCCACAACUGGGGGAUAGCCCACCGAAAGGGGGAUUAAUACCCCGUAACCCCGUGAAGCGGCAUGGCUUUGUGAGUAUAGCUCCGGCAGUUUUGGAUGGGGGUGCGCCUGAUUAGGUAGUUGGCGGGGUAACGGCCCACCAAGCCUGCGAUCAGUAACUGGUGUGAGAGCACGACCAGUCACACGGGCACUGAGACACGGGCCCGACUCCUACGGGAGGCAGCAGUAAGGAAUAUUGGGCAAUGGAUGCAAGUCUGACCCAGCCAUGCCGCGUGCCGGAUGAAGGCCCUCAGGGUUGUAAACGGCUUUUAUUCGGGAAGAAGAGCAGGGAUGCGUCCUUGUGUGACGGUACCGAAUGAAUAAGCACCGGCUAACUCCGUGCCAGCCGCCGCAGUAAAAC
rnacentral:rRNA from 1 species